GUCACUGUGCGGGGGGGUGUGUGUGUGCGCGCGCGUGUGUGUGUCGGUCUGCUGGAGCCGCGGAGCUUCGUACCGCUGAAAUCACAGCAGCCACAGGGCACGGUGCUGGAGCAGCUCGGGAGGAUGAAGUUUAACUCGACGGCGCUUGCUGCUCUCUCCAGAGGGCCCCCUGGAAGCUUUGACAUCGAGGGGAUACUCGCGAUCCGCCGAGAGCCCACUGGCACGUCGGCCAAACCACAAGCUAGUAAGGAGAGAUGGUGUCGGCUGAAAGGGAAUCUGCUGUUUCUGAUGAAGAAAUCCACUGAGAGUUUGAGAGUGGAGAGCCAGACCUGUGCCUCGACGCGGGCAGCGCAUCCGCCUGUGGCUCCUGGGUGGUGGCACUGCGGGGGGCGAGCUCCGAAGCCUUCCGUGACAGAAUACGGCUCCUGAGGAGGCAGCUGGCAGCGGCGACAGGCAAGGAGCCGCCCCGCAGAUCUAGAGCAGGUUGGUACCCGCCACUCCAGGCUGGU
rnacentral:lncRNA from 1 species